CCGGCAACGGAUAUCUCGGCUCUCGCAUCGAUGAAGAACGUAGCGAAAUGCGAUACGUGGUGUGAAUUGCAGAAUCCCGUGAACCAUCGAGUCUUUGAAUGCAAGUUGCGCCCGAGGGACCAUCCCGAGGGCACGC
rnacentral:rRNA from 1 species